rnacentral:lncRNA from 1 species
CACAGCACAAUGAUCUUUAAAAACCAAUUCCAACUGUUCUUGUGCAAAUAGACACAGGGUAUAGUAGUUCUGGUUUGCUGUAACAAAAGGCUCAUAGAAAAUAAGCUUGGGCAAUUUAAGUAUGAAUAGACUGAAAAUGACUUUUGCCAGGUAGUACCAAGGCCAUGCUGUUAAUGUCAGCCUCUGUGAAUAGGAUGAAUUCCUGUAUGCUACUUUUCUCUGCUUGGUUUCAAAGCAACUUACAAAGGUUGAAUGCUGUUUUACUUGACAUACAGCUGGUGAAAAGGGGGUACAGAGAAAGAAAUUCAGGCCUGAGCACAGGUCUUCUGGCUGCAGCCUGGCCUAUAGCUGUAGAUGUUUCCUUUAACUUGUGUUGCUUGCUUGCAGAAAAGAGAGAGUUGCUUAUGUUUGGGUGCUCAUCAGGUGCUACCAAUUGUCCAUCAGGAGAUGGCUGGAGCUUCUGUAUCCCAUAUAAUACACCUAACCCCCACCCCACAGCAUUUCAAAGGUCAAUACAAGCAACUUCAGAGGAAGUCACUGCUUGA